UUAAGCGACUAAGCGUACACGGUGGAUGCCCUGGCAGUCAGAGGCGAUGAAGGACGUGCUAAUCUGCGAAAAGCGCCGGCGAGGUGAUAUGAACCUUUGACCCGGCGAUGUCCGAAUGGGGAAACCCAGUGUGAUUCGUCACACUAUCGUUAACUGAAUACAUAGGUUAACGAGGCGAACCGGGGGAACUGAAACAUCUAAGUACCCCGAGGAAAAGAAAUCAACCGAGAUUCCCCCAGUAGCGGCGAGCGAACGGGGAGCAGCCCAGAGUCUGAAUCAGCUUGUGUGUUAGUGGAAGCGUCUGGAAAGUCGCACGGUACAGGGUGACAGUCCCGUACACGAAAAUGCACAGGUUGUGAACUCGAAGAGUAGGGCGGGACACGUGGUAUCCUGUCUGAAUAUGGGGGGACCAUCCUCCAAGGCUAAAUACUCCUGACUGACCGAUAGUGAACCAGUACCGUGAGGGAAAGGCGAAAAGAACCCCGGCGAGGGGAGUGAAAAAGAACCUGAAACCGUGUACGUACAAGCAGUGGGAGCACCUUCGGGUGUGACUGCGUACCUUUUGUAUAAUGGGUCAGCGACUUAUAUUCUGUAGCAAGGUUAACCGUAUAGGGGAGCCGAAGGGAAACCGAGUCUUAACUGGGCGUUAAGUUGCAGGGUAUAGACCCGAAACCCGGUGAUCUAGCCAUGGGCAGGUUGAAGGUUGGGUAACACUAACUGGAGGACCGAACCGACUAAUGUUGAAAAAUUAGCGGAUGACUUGUGGCUGGGGGUGAAAGGCCAAUCAAACCGGGAGAUAGCUGGUUCUCCCCGAAAGCUAUUUAGGUAGCGCCUCGUGAACUCAUCUUCGGGGGUAGAGCACUGUUUCGGCUAGGGGGCCAUCCCGGCUUACCAACCCGAUGCAAACUACGAAUACCGAAGAAUGUUAUCACGGGAGACACACGGCGGGUGCUAACGUCCGUCGUGAAGAGGGAAACAACCCAGACCGCCAGCUAAGGUCCCAAAGUCAUGGUUAAGUGGGAAACGAUGUGGGAAGGCACAGACAGCCAGGAUGUUGGCUUAGAAGCAGCCAUCAUUUAAAGAAAGCGUAAUAGCUCACUGGUCGAGUCGGCCUGCGCGGAAGAUGUAACGGGGCUAAACCAUGCACCGAAGCUGCGGCAGCGACACUAUGUGUUGUUGGGUAGGGGAGCGUUCUGUAAGCCGUUGAAGGUGUGCUGUGAGGCAUGCUGGAGGUAUCAGAAGUGCGAAUGCUGACAUAAGUAACGAUAAAGCGGGUGAAAAGCCCGCUCGCCGGAAGACCAAGGGUUCCUGUCCAACGUUAAUCGGGGCAGGGUGAGUCGACCCCUAAGGCGAGGCCGAAAGGCGUAGUCGAUGGGAAACAGGUUAAUAUUCCUGUACUUGGUGUUACUGCGAAGGGGGGACGGAGAAGGCUAUGUUAGCCGGGCGACGGUUGUCCCGGUUUAAGCAUGUAGGCGGAACGAUUAGGUAAAUCCGGUCGUUUAUUAACGCUGAGGUGUGAUGACGAGGCACUACGGUGCUGAAGUAACAAAUGCCCUGCUUCCAGGAAAAGCCUCUAAGCAUCAGGUAACAUUAAAUCGUACCCCAAACCGACACAGGUGGUCAGGUAGAGAAUACCAAGGCGCUUGAGAGAACUCGGGUGAAGGAACUAGGCAAAAUGGUGCCGUAACUUCGGGAGAAGGCACGCUGAUAUGUAGGUGAAGCCCCUGCGGGUGGAGCUGAAAUCAGUCGAAGAUACCAGCUGGCUGCAACUGUUUAUUAAAAACACAGCACUGUGCAAACACGAAAGUGGACGUAUACGGUGUGACGCCUGCCCGGUGCCGGAAGGUUAAUUGAUGGGGUUAGCGGCAACGCGAAGCUCUUGAUCGAAGCCCCGGUAAACGGCGGCCGUAACUAUAACGGUCCUAAGGUAGCGAAAUUCCUUGUCGGGUAAGUUCCGACC
rnacentral:rRNA from 1 species